GUGGGAGGGGGCUUGCUCCCGGAUAGCGGUGGGUCAGUGGCCUACAUAUUGGCUGACACACUGCAAUCGGGAGCAAGCCCCCUCCCAC
rnacentral:misc_RNA from 1 species